UACGUAGGGGGCAAGCGUUAAUCGGAAUUACUGGGCGUAAAGCGUGCGCAGGCGGUUAUUUAAGACAGGUGUGAAAUCCCCGGGCUUAACCUGGGAACUGCAUUUGUGACUGCAUAGCUAGAGGACGGUAGAGGGGGAUGGAAUUCCGCGUGUAGCAGUGAAAUGCGUAGAUAUGCGGAGAAACACCGAUGGCGAAGGCAGCCCCCUGGGCCAAUACUGACGCUCAUGCACGAAAGCGUGGGGAGCAAACAGG
rnacentral:rRNA from 1 species